rnacentral:rRNA from 1 species
AAUAGAUACCCAGGUAGUCCACGCCGUAAACGAUGAGUGCUAAGUGUUAGAGGGUUUCCGCCCUUUAGUGCUGCAGCAAACGCAUUAAGCACUCCGCCUGGGGAGUACGGUCGCAAGACUGAAACUCAAAGGAAUUGACGGGGGCCCGCACAAGCGGUGGAGCAUGUGGUUUAAUUCGAAGCAACGCGAAGAACCUUACCAGGUCUUGACAUCCUUAUGCCUUCUCUAGAGAUAGAGCUUUCCCUUCGGGGACAUAAGUGACAGGUGGUGCAUGGUUGUCGUCAGCUCGUGUCGUGAGAUGUUGGGUUAAGUCCCGCAACGAGCGCAACCCUUGAUCUUAGUUGCCAGCAUUCAGUUGGGCACUCUAAGGUGACUGCCGGUGACAAACCGGAGGAAGGUGGGGAUGACGUCAAAUCAUCAUGCCCCUUAUGACCUGGGCUACACACGUGCUACAAUGGAUGGUACAAAGGGCAGCGAAACCGCGAGGUUAAGCCAAUCCCAUAAAACCAUUCUCAGUUCGGAUUGCAGG